UACGUAGGGUGCAAGCGUUAUUCGGAAUUACUGGGCGUAAAGCGUGCGCAGGCGGUGAUGUAAGUCAGAUGUGAAAUCCCCGGGCUUAACCUGGGAACUGCAUUUGUGACUGCAUCGCUGGAGUGCGGUAGAGGGGGAUGGAAUUCCGCGUGUAGCAGUGAAAUGCGUAGAUAUGCGGAGGAACACCGAUGGCGAAGGCAAUCCCCUGGGCCUGCACUGACGCUCAUGCACGAAAGCGUGGGGAGCAAACAGG
rnacentral:rRNA from 1 species